GGAUUGUUGAUGUUUAUGAGGAGGUGAAGAGGAAGGAGAGCUUCGGGGAACGGAAUGAGGACUGCAAGAAGGGGAAAAAGGAGUCUCAAGUUCACACGAGCCCUUUGAAAUCGACACCAGGUACAUCAACGUCUAAAAUCACUCCGCCUCCCUUCCUCAAGCCCCCCUACGUAUUUUACCUUAAAGUGUAGUUAUCAUGCACACUAGGCUCAUUUCGUAAACCCCGUGUUUUUCAGAAUUCAACCCCUACCCAACAAAAUGAGAACAAUUGUUACUUAGAGACGAAUCCAGACACGGACUAAGGACAUAAAUAUCAUUAUCUACCUCUGUUAUGAUUUUCCCUUCGAGAAAACUGCUCUCUGAGACAUUAGUUUUAGUUAUCGAUUGAUAUAAAAGCAAACGUGGGCACGAUAGUUAUUGGACAAGAUACUUAGUACUCCAUAAACUACAUAAAGAUGUAAUUAAAGGUGGAUGACUGGUGGUGCAUAACUCGAAAGGUCCUGAAGGAACAGAGGUAACUCAACAAAAUCGUCGAAAUUAUUUCGAUAUUAUUGAUAAAAGUUACAUAUUUCCAUUAAAGUAUCACUUGACCGCUUCUUCGGUUAAUUUUAAUGCGUUCAACUCCUAGAUGAGAUUCAAAUAACUAAAAAUAUCUGUAUAAAAUCUCAACUCAUAAUCUAAAGUACAAGCCCUGCUUUCAACACGAACAUUUUUCCAUUCAAAAAACAUUGAAAUUUCAACAUUUCCACAAAUUACUUUUUUUUUCUUUUUUUUAAAGGCUUUAAAAAUAUCAAAUUAGAUCGAAUAUUUUGGAUAUUGAGUUGAGAAUAAUUCCUUUAAUUGGGCACCUGAUUUGAGAAAAUUCUUUAUCGAGAUAAAGAAUUCUCUAAAAUUCUUCUUUUCUAAAAUCACAAAAUUAACUUAAUUUUUUAAAAAAUAUGUUUUUUUGUUAGUUAUUUGUAACUCAUUUGGGGGUUGAACGCAUUAAAAUUGGCGAAGGAGGUGGAUAAGUGGCACCUUAACUUCCAUUCGUACUAUUGUGAAAUUCAUAUCAACCUUGUGAAUUAUUUUCACCUCAAAAUGUAUUAUUUAUGAAGUUCAUGGUGAAGUCUUGACUAAAUGCUAAUAGCCUUGUUUUUCGCGUGUCUAUUUGGAGACUCAACCGGGCGUUUUUUUUAACUCAAUCAUUUUGACGUGUUCCUGAGGUUUAAAGUCCAUCGGCAAAAUAUGUUAUGUGUUUCUGGUCGAGUUUUGAGGAUUCAUAUAUUUAUAUACCUUCUAACGUAUGAUAUAUUUAUGAUAUCCACAAUAUCGAAGAGAAAAACAAAUAUUUUUCAAGACUGCGUAUUCAUCUAGCAGACAGUCGAAAUUUUUUUCUACUUUGAAUCAAUUCAAAAAAAUUUGCUUCUGUCUGAAAUAAACAAGCGAUGGAACACGUCUUUAUAUUUACUAAAGUGUUUUAUGUUUCCAAGAUUCAAAUCUUCUUUUAGAAACCUGAGAAGUGAAAAAAACUACCGAAAUACGACGAAAAUUUAGCGUCAUAAAUUCUCAGCCAAAAGGGGACGAAAAAACAGGCGAAGUAGCGUAAAAAAUUGUUCUUUUUACAGGAACCAGAUGAAAUUAGUAGAGGGUGAUCUGAAGAGGAUAAAUAAUUUUAAGGAAUAUUUGAAAAUACAAGAUGGGGGCGCCGCCAUUUUUUUUAAAACCUCUUCUGACAAAAGGCGCAAGAUGGCGGCACCCACAUUUACUAUCUCUUCGUAAUUUUUGAAUGUUGAUUGAAAUUAUUUGUCCUCUUCAGAUCACUUUCGAUUCGUUCCAUCCAGCCCCUUUACAAAUAACCAUUUCUUAAGGGGUUACACUACUGAAAUUUGAAAGUCCUGAAAUAACAAAAUGACCUUUGUGAGAUUUUUCUCACAUGUGUAGUCCCUAAAAAAAUAUAUUUUGACCCAUCUACACCCGUCCACUAUGGCGGCGAAUUAAAAAAAAAUAAAAACGAUUUUGCCCUUUGAAAGUCUACAAAGUGAGGAAAAGUAUUCCGAUUGUCUUGAAAUCGAUACACAAUGUUCAGAACACUGGAAUAAACAAAGCUAUAGAUGGAAAUUCGAAUCGGAUGAUUUUUAGAUUUUAAUCUAAAAAUUUCUGAUUUUAAUCACCCGGAAAUCGAAAAAAUAACGAAAUACGAAAAAUUCGAGUUAGUCAACUUGCUUUGAUCCGAUUAACCUUCAAAGGGCAAAAUCGGGUUAUUCCGUUUUUUUAAAUGCCCUGCCAGAUUGAGUGGGCGUAGCUGGGUCAAAAUAUAUUUUUUUAGUGACUACAUAUGUGAGAAAAAUCUCACAGAGGCCAUUUUUUUAUUGUAAAACUUUCAAAUCUCAAUAGUGUCUCCCUUAAGUUAUAUUUCUGAUUCUUCCCUCCCCUUUUUCAUUCGUUAAUGCCUCUUAGACUUCGUACUACGUUUGUAUCAGAAAAACUCGAAGCUUCAUUCAAUGAUUUCUUUGAAUUCUCGCUUCAAUGAAUCACCUAUGUUUCUACCAAGCAUUGAUAUAGAUUUCUCAAUAGGGACCUUACAUGAAGCACAAUUCUUUCUAAUUCCCCGAUUCACACAUUCCUCGUAACAUAUGGACAACUAAACGGCUAAAACUAUGGAGAACUAUUGCUCGAUGUCUUGUGAUAAUUAAUUGAAAAUCAAUCGUUUUCGAGAUCAAUUUUUCGGUUAUGACGUCACAAAGACGGUCAGGUAACGUUUCAUUGGCCGAAAAAGAAGAGAGUGGGGCCUUAUCGUCCUCUAUUGGCCGAGGCGCACCUCAGAAUUGAGUUAAGUCUGCUCAAGCUAUUCUGUCAUUAGUUCAGCGCUCGACCGUCUGUGUAACGUCAUUAGCAAUUUCAAAGCGUUUGAAAUCUUCAACUUUUAACAAUUAAUUAUUAAUUAACGAGCAAUAUUUCAAACGUUUGUGAAUGAAAAGUGAAUUAUUCAAGUCCCAAACUUGAGAAAUUGAAAAAAAAUUCAUGCAAAUUUCCUAUUGAGGGCGUAACAGAAUGCCGCCAAUUUUCCAAAUUUUUGAAACAAUUUCCCGCCGAAAGUUAUGGAUAUUUUUACAUAGCAAAGCACAUUAAUCUCCUGGAGGUGAUGAUGAAGAUCAAUGUGCCUCAAGUUCGAAAAAUAUCAAUAAAUUUAAAGAGUAUAAACUCUUGGGCCUAAAACUAAACUUUGAAGGCUGUUCUUGCGUCGAAUAAUAGGAUAAAGCAUUCACUUUAUCCUUCCGACGAAUAUUUACUGUCUUCUAGAUGAAAAAGAAAAAUUAUACCGUUAUUGAGGAGCGUUGGAAGAGCACAAUAGUUGAAAUGGAAAGUUAGAGAAACUUUAGAUUCAUCCUAAAGAGCGAGAUGAAUGGUAUUUUGUUGAGUAUUUGUUACAUUGGGACCCAUGGAUACAGUAAUUUAGCAGAUGUAUAUCACCGUUUCCAGUAGAUAGUUGGAAAAAAAGAUUUCUCUUUAUUUACCCCCCUCUAUUGCAAUGAAGCCUUCGAACGUGCAAUUUUUAUAUGACGUAAGAGCAGAGUGUUAUUGUAUCGAUUCCAUAUAUUAUAUAAAAAUCAUUGUUUAUGGAGAAUUAGGCAGAAUGUAAUCGUUCUAUGUUCCAAUGUGAAAUGGAAAAUGUUUAAAACGAGGUGAUAAGUAUUAUUACAUGAUAGAUGAGGUAACCAUGGAGUGGUAAACAUUGAAAAUGGCAAUUUUAUAUUAUACAAAAAUUAGAUAGGAUAAUUGAAUAAUGAUUAUCAAUUGACGCUAUGAGGACUAAUGCUUGAAUUGAGUUCCUGCGAGUUAGAUUAUUUCUAGGACGAAUUGUAUAUCGAAUGAUGUUACAAUAAUUACGUAUGUUGCUGGACAAAAAUAAGAAUUUGUUAUUCACUGUUGUAAGCUGA